rnacentral:rRNA from 1 species
GACGAACGCUGGCGGCGUGCCUAAUACAUGCAAGUCGAACGCAGUGGGGACGGGUGAGUAACACGUGGGUAACCUCCCAUCAAAGGGGAUAACACUUGGAAACAGGUGCUAAACCGAUACUGAUGGAUGGACCCGCGUUGCAUUAGCUAGUUGGUGAGGUAACGGCUCACCAAGGCCACGAUGCAUCGCGGACCGUAGGUGGUGAGCGGCCCAACUGGGACUGAUACACGUCCCAGACUCCUACGGGAGGCAGCAGUAGGGAAUUUUCGGCAAUGGACGAAAGUCUGACCGACAAACGCCGCGUUCGUGAAGAAGGUUUGCGUAUCGUAAAACUCUGGUGUGAGAGAGGCGCUAUCUAGCCAGAUAGCCACGGCUAACUACGUGCCAGCCGCCGCGGUAAUAC